GAGGCACUCUAGAACAGUGGUGGUGAACCUGUGGCACUGCUCUGGGCUGCAGUGUCAAUGAAAGCUCUUCAGGGUUCUCCAUGACUACUCUAGAAUACUGUUUGUCUCCAAGAGGGGAAGGGACACACAAGGAGUUUGGUUCGUGGCUGGGGCCAGUAUAACAAAAGACGGAUCGAAGAGAGAAAAGCAUGGACAUUUGUUUCAUGUCAGUGCUGUGUGACACGAAGGCCUGCAGAAACAGGGAUGCCUGUGUAUUCUUGUGCUUGGGUCUGAUGGAGAGUGGGCAGGAUCUCAUUUAAUCUGCACAGACAACACAGAGGUGUGUCGGGGAGGGCAGGCACUAUAUCUUCUCCAAUCCAUAAAUGAGAGGAUGAGAGAUGAACCUGCAGCUGAUAAAGGAGAAGCCAGGCACCUGUCAACUGCUGAGCCACACGAUGACCUGUGAUUUUGGUGGAUGCAUUUGAUUAUACGGGGUCGAACUGAUUUUCAGGUGAAAGAUGGUUGCCAUUUGUUUUGUGGUCAUUUUGUGCCGGGGACCCCUUUUUUAUGAGGUGGCCUAAUUUUGUUUUCUCCUUUAAUCCAAGAUUUGAGAGCACUUAAACCAGCAUUAAGGAAACAACCGUUCUCUAGGGCUGGCUUUUAAUCCAACAAGACAUGGUUGCAGUGGUUUUCAGUAGCCUGGGGAUUGAACUCACAACCUCAUGCUUGCCAGGAAGGCACUGUGCCACUGAAUCAUAUCCCUGGCUCCAGGGGCUUCUCUUUUUUUUUUUUUAAUUUUUUUUUUUUUUUGUCUUUUUCCUUUUUAUUGGUACCGGGGAUCAAACUCACGACUGCCUGCUUGCAAGGCAGGUGCUUAUGCCGCUGAGCUAAACCUCCAGCCCCAAGGGGCUUCUCUUUUUUGUGCAGCAUCUUGUGUGAUCCGAGGAGAGAGCUCUGUUUUGUUUUGCUUUGUUUCUCUUAUUUCAUUUUGUUUUGUUUUAUUUUGAGACAAGAUCUCCAUAUGUAGCCCAGGCUGGACUCAAAUUUGCAGUGAUCCCCCUGCCUCAGCCUCCCAUAUGCUAGGAUUAGAGGUUUGUUCCACAGCUCUGUUUUUUUUCCCACUGUAUCUAUUAUACAUUUUGCUCCUUAUUAGACUUUUGGUUUCUCACACACCAAAGAAACAAUGCGUUAUUUACGUAUGCAUCUUUAUUUAUUUAUUUUUUUUAGUCUUUUUCCUUUUUAUCGGUACCAGGGAUCGAACUCACGACUGCCUGCUUGCAAGGCAGGUGCUUAUGCUGCUGAGCUAAAUCCCCAGCCCUGGUGCUCUGUUCUUAAUGCUGUGUAUUCACUUGGGCCCAGUGGCAAGGUCUAAGUAAGCCAUUGCCUGCACCCUGCGGGUUUUAGGUCCGCACGCUUCCGCAGUCCAGCGUAGACAUGGAGUCUGUGCUGCAGCAGCUUCUCAGGUGUGGUGGGCACAGCCCUCACAGUGCCCAGGUCCCCUGGCUCCUGAGCUGUCUUCACUGGGUGUCUCUGAGAAGGCUCCAGGCUGCCCUACGACACCACCAGCAAGCCCAUCCCCACCCUGAGAUGCUCUGCCUCAUCCUCCUUGAAUGCCAAAGCCCUGGGAUGGCUGAGCGGUACACUGCGAGUGGAGGUGGUGGAGGCAGAUGUCUGCUGUCUCCACUCUGUGUCCCACUGCAGGUGCCUGGGCUGCAGCUGCUUUCUCAAGACUUGAGUGCAAAGUUCUCUCUGCUCCUUAUAGAGCUCCUGGUCUUCUUGGGCCACAGGUAGGCGGGUCAGAUUCCUGAGUGACCACAGCGCCCCCAAGGUAUUCUGAUCAGCCCUUCUGGAUGGACAGCUGUGGCCUGCUCACUGGGUGAAGUUCAAGGCUUUUGCACUGGGUAGAUUCUUGCCAAGAGUAACCGAUAAGGGGACUGUCAGUUACUUACUACCCCUAGCCGGCACUUGCAUACUAAAAUGUGAGUGACUGAUAAAAAGCAUUUCGCUAUUGUUGAUUAUCACCACUGUGCCAGCCAUGAUGCCAGGAGCUCUACUUAUGUUAUUUCCUCCUGAUCCCCACAGCAGCUCUGACGGGGCACAGUUUAACAGCUCAUGGGAUCAGAGGUCAGUGAAAAGCAGGGAGCAGAUACUGCCCGGCGUAAGUGAUUCUCUUACUGUGUGUUGGUUCUUCAUCUCUGAAAUAAAACAGUUAGACCAAAUAGUCCUAAAUCCUUUCUGACUCUUAAAAUUCAGAUCUGUCACCUUUCUUAGGAAUAUGUAUUUGCAACCCAACAAAAGUCAACACUCAGUGACCCCAAAGAUGGUGUACUAAUGAUGGGAACGUGUGUAUAUCUCUCGAUUUCUGGGCCAGUAAUCUAAGCAGGGAUUUGUUUAAAAUUGUCACUUAAUGUUAUUAUUUCCUGGUGUGAAGGAUGACUACAGGCUCUUGUGCAUGCUAGGCAAGUGCUCUCUCUGGUUUAUCCCCAGCCCUAGGAUAUUUUUAAAAUAUAACUUUAGAAAAAAAAAAAAAAAAAAAACAACAACCCCAUCUGGGGCUGGGGUUUUAGCUCAGCGGCAUAAAACGCCUGCCUUGCAAGCAGGCAGUCGUGAGUUCGAUCCCUGGUACCGAUAAAAAGGAAAAAGACAAAAAAAAAAAAAAAAAAAAAACAAAACUUUAGCAGUAGACUCUUCAGACUAGCUUAGAGAAUAAGGGAGGCUCACUGGCUGAACUCCAGGAGGCCCAGAGCUGACUACAGGCUUCAGACAGGGCUCUGUAGGUCUACAAUUUUCAGGUUUUGCCCCUGAUCUUCACCUUUGUUCUCAGGCUAACUUUCUUUGUGUGCAACACAGCACCGUAGCACCAGGGUCCCCUCCACCAAGGGGCAGAAAGCUCCACUGUCAGUCAUCACACGGCUUUCCUUCCACACCGAUUAGCUCAUUGCUGAACAUCCAUAAGCAAAUCCUGAUAGUUAUUUGGCUUGGCCUAAAUUGUCAGCCAUGCUUAAACCAAUCACCGUGGCAGAGGAGAUGGCAUUAUAUGAGUUGAUAUGUGCAAGCAGGGCCUGCCUCUUGGAGCUGGAGUAGACAGAGUCCUACUCAAGGCUAUGUGCAGGAUGGCAUCCUGGGAGGCAGGCUAGCUGGAAGACAGUGAUACUCUGCCCCAGACCUCCUCUGUUUUAUGCCUGAUAGUGGGGCCGCUGGAAGAGUGUAAGAUCGAUGGGAACCCCACGGACCCAGGACAGCAGCCUGGCAUACAGAUGCAUACCCACUUUUGGAGGGUGAAGCAAUCGGUGAGGCCAGUAACAUGGAUGCGUCUAAAGCAGUAGUGAGGAGACGGCAUUUGGAGCCUGGAGAACUCCACCAAUAGAAGACCAGUCCCAGCGCCCACAUCCAGAGGCCAAGAUGGGCUCCAUAUCCAGCACAUCUCUGGGAUGUAACAGGGACACUAUCACAGAACUGCAAAUACCAGAAGAAAGUAGGUUCUUGCUAUAGCUCUAAAGAAUCAACCACAUCUGGAGGACACCCCUGAGGGAAGGACAUCUUUCCUCGUUGAGAGAGGCCUCAAUGCUAGUGGUAGAGUUAUGUAUCAUGGAAGGUUGGUGGGUGUCAACACUGGAGACAAAACAUUAGAAAAAAGAGAAGAUGGAGAAUUGCAACACACAGAGGUGGGUGCGACCCCAGAUCCCCAGCCCACCCAGGGCAGGCCUGGAACUCAACAUGAUGAAUGAAGUUUGAAGUCAAACACUGGAACUUCCUGAAAUGGUAACAAUAGAGGUAAAAAAAAAACAAGUGGAAAAGACUAUAGAGAGAAUGAUCUCUCAGAUACAAAAAGAUAUGAUGCUUAAAGAAGACACAAAUAAUAGAUGAGCUUAGAAAAAGAUAGAAAUAAAAAAUGCCCAACAUAGGAAUCCAUGAAACAGAUCCAAACAGAGAUCCAGGAGAUUAAAACCUCCAUUGCAAGUGUAUGCAACAGAUUGAAUGAAAGAAAGGAUAGAACUUCAGAUCCUGAAGACAGAAUUGCAGCUAAUGAUCAUGAAAAUAAAGAUAUCUUUUUUUUCCCCCUUUGUACUGGUAAUUGAACUCAGGACUGCACUUGCCAGGCAUCUAUAUCCCCUGCCUGAAGAAUGGUAUCUUUAAAAUAGCAAGAAACCAUGAGAAGUCAAUGCAACAGCUACAAGAUAAAGUGAAGAAUAACACAAGAUUGACUGGGUCAAUGAGAAAGCUAGAGACAGCACAAAUGUCAUAACAAUCAUAAAUACAUAUGCACCUACUACAGGAGCACCUAACUGUAUAAGGACAGUUAUUUGUAGAUAUAGAAUCAAAUAAGCAAUAACAGUUGUUAUGGGAGACCUUAGUACGCCAUGGUCACAGAGAGACAGAUCAACUAGACAGAAAACCAGCAAAGAAAUACCAGAGCUGAACCAAACCUGCAAACAAAUGGACUUAAUAGGAAGAAGCCACACCCCAAGGCCCUGCACGUGGAGAGAUCCAGUGAGCCCAGCACAGGCCCAGAGAAGAAGACACGUCUCGAAGCCCCACUCAGAUUGGGGCAGCAUUGGUGAACCAUUGCCUCCUGCCUCCUCAUCACUGCAGGAACCCCAGAUCAGAGGAAUCCUGUAUCUAGUCCAAUCCACUGUAACAGGGGACUGGCAGUCAGUACAGGAAUCACCCGGCAUGUAGCAGUGGGCUGAUUCAGAGGAAUGUGGGAAAAUGUCAAGAUGAAGGAGCAAAACAGAGUCUCCGACCUCAGCCCACCCAGGACAAGUUCAGGAGACACAGACAUAGUAGAAAUUAGAAGUCAAAUACCUGAGAUUUCUAAAAGAUAGCAACUGAAGUAAAGAAGCAACUUUGUUUUUGUAUUGUUUGGUUAAUUUUACGUGCUUAUGUCUGAGGGUCUGCACAGCUGUUUUGAAGAUAACAAGAGGCAUUGUGGUAACCAUUGUUAAUUUCCUGUUAUCAUAUUUUGAAGUCCUGUAUCGUUUUCUUUGUUUUGUUUGGUUUUAUUCUAUUUUGUUUUGUUUGAUUGUAUUAGGGAUGAUGGUAUGGGCAGAUAUUGUGAACACAGUGAUGCCUUGUGGUAGCCGUUGUUGGUUUCCUGUUAUCUUAUUUCAAAGUUCUGUAUCACUUUCAAUGUUUUGUUUUGAUUGGCUUUAUUCUGUUUGGCUUUAUUCUCUUUAAACAAAAGACUAUAUGUAGAACUUCUCAGUAGUGUGUUGGUCGGGUGAGAAUAGGUUAUACUGUAGUACAAACAAGUCCAGUGUCUCAGUGGUUCAAACAGUAAAUGGGUGCUUCUUUUUGGAGACAAGCUCUUGCUGUGUAGUUCAGGCUAGUUUUGAACACACUGCAUAGCCUAGCUAGCCUCAAAUUCAUGGUGAUCCUCCUGCCUCAGCUUCUCGAGUACAGGAAUUACAGGCGUGUACCACCAUGGCUGGUCUUGCUCAUGUUUGAUGUGGGCCAACAGGAAAGUUCAGCUCAUGAAUAUCACUCCUGGGAUGAGGCUGAAGGCGGCUGUAUCUCAUUAUGUGCCUCGCUAGUCCCCUGGCAGGAAAGAGGGCAGGAGAGGACAGCGCCAGCAGUUAAAUGUUCCCGCCUGGAAGACACACAGCGCUCUGCCCUCAUUGCACUGGUAAAAGCGAGGCCCGAUGGCUGUGCUCCACUUGAGAAAAUGCAAACUUCUGGGGUAAACUUCUCCUCUCUGUCUGUUGCUCUCUUCAGGCCUUGAAUAGACUGGAUGAGGCUCAGCCACGUUGGGGAAGGCGGCUCAUGUCACUCAGCCCACUGAUGCAAGUGCUAAUCUUAUCCAGACACACCCUGAAGUAAUAUUUAAUCCAGACCCCCUGUGCUGCAGUCAAAUUGAAACUUAGAAUUAACCAUCAAGGUACAAAGCCUUGAGCAACAUCCCGAUCAUUGGACUUCCAGGAAGGAGUAUUUGCCACUGCACCUUGUCCUGGUCCACCUGCACCCCUUUUGCAGUUCAGGAAAGGGCUGGGGUGUAGCUCAGAGGUACAAUGACUGCCUGUCUCUCGGGCAUGAGGCCCUGGGUCCCACCUCCCGUACAGAAAAAUCCCAAAUCAUAUUACCAGAAUCUUUUUCUGUUGUUUUCAAGAGAGCGUCUUGCCAUGUAGUUGAGGGUAGCUUGAACUCAUUGUGCAGCCCGGAUACUCCUGCCCCAGCUCCUGAGUGCUGGAGUCCAGGCAGGCACCACCUUGCCUGGCUAUCACAUGGGCAGAAUCUCAGCGAGAGUGAAGCAUGUAUAAAGCUGAAGACCAUUGGCACCAGGGUAAAAUAAAAACACAAGUGAAAGAUAGGGGCAUUUUUUCCCAAAAGAUUAUUUGAGAGAUCAUAAUCAUUUCUGUCUUCUGUCUAUAUUUUGGGAUAGGUGAAGGACAGAAUGAUGGUCAGUGAUUGCCUUCUCAGAGAUUGACAGGGUGGAUAUAAAUUAGUUCCUACAUAGGGGAGAGUAAAAGGGUAGCUAAGAAAGAGUGAAAAUAACUCUUUAAAAAUAACUCUUAAGGGGCUGGGGAUUUAGCUCAGCGGCAUAAGCACCUGCCUUGCAAGCAGGCAGUCGUGAGUUCGAUCCCCAGUACCGAUAAAAAGAAAAAAAAAAAAAAAAAAAAGAAAGAAAAAGAAAAAAAACCUCUUAAAUAGCACACAAUAAUUACAAAGACAUGGUCUAAUAAAAAGUACAGUGAAUGUUUAACCGAUUUAUGGCUGGGUGUGAUGACACAUGCCUGUAAUCCCAGCACUAGGGAGGCUGAGACAGGAGGAUUGCAGUGAGUUCAAGGCCAGCCUGAACUAUAUAGCAAGAACUUGUCUCAAAAAAUUUUUUGUUAUUACAGUGAAACACACUUGCCAUUAGUCCCUCUUAAAUCCUCCCCCUUGCUUGACUUUGUCCUUGACGCUUUCCUAAAGCAGUUCUAGAAGUUCUCUUUUGUGAGUGUCCUUAGUUGUGCUGCCAUCAUGGCUACACUGAUGUCCUGAAUCCAUUCAAAACAGUUUUGAUGGCCAUUUUGACUUUGGGGAAGAGCCAGGAGUCUCACAGGACCAGAGCUGAGAGGAGGGGAGACACUGUGGUGAUUUACAAGCCUGCCUUGCUGCUGGUAAAUCAGUUGGCAGCAGCUUUCACCAUUGUUUUGAUCACACCUUUCUUGAGUGUGAAGCCACUCAUGAAAGAGGAUUUCCAGAACUGCUUCAGAAAGUGAC